rnacentral:rRNA from 1 species
AGAGUUUGAUCCUGGCUCAGAUUGAACGCUGGCGGCGUGCCUAACACAUGCAAGUCGAGCGGUAACAGGUGUAGCAAUACAUGCUGACGAGCGGCGAACGGGUGAGUAAUGCUUCGGAAUCUGCCCAAUGGUGGGGAAUAACCAGCCGAAAGGUUGGCUAAUACCGCAUAAGUCCUACGGGAGAAAGCAGGGGAUCGUAAGACCUUGCGCCGAUGGAUGAGCCGAAGUCGGAUUAGCUAGUUGGUAGGGUAACGGCCUACCAAGGCGACGAUCCGUAGCUGGUCUGAGAGGACGACCAGCCACACUGGGACUGAGACACGGCCCAGACUCCUACGGGAGGCAGCAGUGGGGAAUAUUGGACAAUGGGGGAAACCCUGAUCCAGCGACGCCGCGUGUGUGAAGAAGGCCUGCGGGUUGUAAAGCACUUUUAGUGGGGAUGAAAAGCUCAGGGAUAACACCUCUGGGUCUUGACCUAACCCACAGAAAAAGCACCGGCUAACUCUGUGCCAGCAGCCGCGGUAAUACAGAGGGUGCAAGCGUUAAUCGGAAUUACUGGGCGUAAAGCGUGCGUAGACGGUUAUGUAAGUCGGGUGUGAAAGCCCCGGGCUCAACCUGGGAAUGCCAUUCGAGACUGCAUAGCUAGGGUGCGGAAGAGGGAAGCGGAAUUUCCGGUGUAGCGGUGAAAUGCGUAGAUAUCGGAAGGAACACCAGUGGCGAAAGCGGCUUCCUGGUCCAGCACCGACGUUCAGGCACGAAAGCGUGGGGAGCAAACAGGAUUAGAUACCCUAGUAGUCC